rnacentral:rRNA from 1 species
GACGUGAGGGGCCAGCGUUGUUCGGAAUUACUGGGUGUAAAGGGUUCGUAGGCGGUGUGGCAAGUCGGGGUGAAUCCUGGAGCUCAACUCCAGAACUGCCUUCGAUACUGGCGAUCUCGAGUUCGGGAGAGGUGAGUGGAACUGCGAGUGUAGAGGUGAAAUUCGAUAGAUAUUCGCAAGAACACCAGUGGCGAAGGCGGCUCACUGGCCCGAUACUGACGCUGAGGUGCGGAAAGCGUGGGGAGCAAACAGG